rnacentral:lncRNA from 1 species
AAAUAUAAACCUUAGACAACAAUUAAUAGAGAAGUAACUAACAACCUACUAAAUACUGAAACAUUAAAUAACGAAUUGAAAAUACUGAGCAUUAAAUCUGCUAACUAAAUUUAGCGAUUUAAAAUAACAUAAAUAAAAUCAAAUAUUACAAAGUGCAAUAAGCGUAAAUCAAUCUUCAAAUAAGAGAAGGCAAAUUAAAUACAAAUACAAAUAAUAUCCAACACAACUUUCAAUUCAAACGGAAAUUGAAGUGAAACUCUAAAAUAAAUAAAUACUUGCAGAACAUAAUACCUGAAAGAUUUCAAAAACAAUAAAGCUUUAAUAAGCAAUACUUCAAGAAAACAAAACCUUAGUGUUUUUCGUUUAGCAGAAAAUAUUCGAGUGUUCAGAUAAUGGAGAUAAGCUAUCUUAUAUAGAAGGAAAAAGGACUCUGCCAAUGCGAUGAUUCGCUGGA